CCUUCCAUAGCUCAUUUGGUAGAGCGGAGGACUGUAGAUCCUUAAGGUCGCUGGUUCGAAUCCGGCUCGGAGGA